rnacentral:rRNA from 1 species
CCUACGGGAGGCUGCAGUGAGGAAUAUUGGUCAAUGGACGAGAGCCUGAACCAGCCAAGUAGCGUGAAGGAUGACUGCCCUAUGGGUUGUAAACUUCUUUUAUAUGGGAAUAAAAUGUUCCACGUGUGGGAUUUUGUAUGUACCAUAUGAAUAAGGAUCGGCUAACUCCGUGCCAGCAGCCGCGGUAAUACGGAGGAUCCGAGCGUUAUCCGGAUUUAUUGGGUUUAAAGGGAGCGUAGGUGGAUUGUUAAGUCAGUUGUGAAAGUUUGCGGCUCAACCGUAAAAUUGCAGUUGAAACUGGCAGUCUUGAGUACAGUAGAGGUGGGCGGAAUUCGUGGUGUAGCGGUGAAAUGCUUAGAUAUCACGAAGAACUCCGAUUGCGAAGGCAGCUCACUGGACUGCAACUGACACUGAGGCUCGAAAGUGUGGGUAUCAAACAGGAUUAGAUACCCUUGUAGUC